rnacentral:rRNA from 1 species
GACGAACGCUGGCGGCGUGCUUAACACAUGCAAGUCGAACGCUGAACCCGCUUCGGUGGGGGAUGAGUGGCGAACGGGUGCGUAACACGUGGGCAACCUGCCCCCGGCUCUGGGAUAACUCCAAGAAAUUGGGGCUAAUACCGGAUGUGACCGCUGGCCGCAUGGUCUGGUGGUGGAAAGGGUUUCCGGCUGGGGAUGGGCCCGCGGCCUAUCAGCUUGUUGGUGGGGUAGUGGCCUACCAAGGCGACGACGGGUAGCCGGCCUGAGAGGGUGACCGGCCACACUGGGACUGAGACACGGCCCAGACUCCUACGGGAGGCAGCAGUGGGGAAUAUUGCGCAAUGGGCGGAAGCCUGACGCAGCGACGCCGCGUGGGGGAUGACGGCCUUCGGGUUGUAAACCUCUUUCAGCAGGGACGAAGCGCAAGUGACGGUACCUGCAGAAGAAGCACCGGCCAACUACGUG